rnacentral:ncRNA from 1 species
GUUGGUGUAUCGCGGAUUGUAGUUGAUGAAGGCAAAGCCGCGACACUGGUCGAUCACGUGAAACAGGGGGUUCCAGUCGAACAUCGCCAGCAUGAAGCUGGGCAGGGUGUUGGCAACGAACAUCUUGCCGCUCGCGAUCAUGUUUGCGCGCUG